CGUAUAUUUCAAAAUCUGUGUGAAUUUAAUAUAGAUUAAAAAUCUUUGAAAAAAACUGUCGAGUGAUAGUGAUAGUAAAGUUGUGGUGGCAGGAAGUAGUGCGGAAGAUAUCGUGCAAAGGAAGAAGAUAAAGAGAAGCUCUGUUUGGGAAACACUUUCAAGAAAAAGACGAUACAAAGGCGGAACGCACACAUUGUCACCAUGAAUUUUAAAUUAUAAAUCGAGAUUGCAAGAAGACGGUGGUAGUGGAACUGCGCUUAAUAUCAUCCCUGGAACGUGGAACUCCGUCUGGAACGAGCGUAAAGUUCUGGGAUUCUGUCUAAUAUUCCCUAGGGCUGUGAGACAUCGUUCGGCUCGAUCUCGGAAUUUUAGGAUGUCUGGCAUGACUACGAAGUCCUGGAACUUCGAUCGAUACGCCCAUGGAGACAUGGAAGUAGCAUCGAUCCAUUCUAAGACUAGAGGAUCUCUUAUGAUACUACUACUCCCCGAGGAUGUAACAUCUUGCUAGAUAAUACUCUAGGAUUGUGGGGCUUCGUACAGAAUUUUGAUCUUCGCGUCUUACAACGGAUGUUGAUGUUGGACCAUGAAACCAGGGCCAUUGGACACUGUCCAAAUAGCACCAUGUAAGUGAACUUUGAUUAAAUAACUUUGAUAACUUUGAUUUAAUUUGUUUCGAAGAACAAUUUACAUAAUUUUUGUACUUUCGGAUACAAAGUUUUCACACAACGAUGUGAAAUAAUGUUAUGCAUAUUCUGCGAU